UAAUGCCGGAUGUUCCAGUUGAUCGCAUGGUCUUCUGGGAAAGCUUUCGCGGUAUGGGAUGGGGUCGCGUCCUAUCAGCUUGACGGCGGGGUAACGGCCCACCGUGGCUUCGACGGGUAGCCGGCCUGAGAGGGCGACCGGCCACAUUGGGACUGAGAUACGGCCCAGACUCCUACGGGAGGCAGCAGUGGGGAAUAUUGCACAAUGGGCGCAAGCCUGAUGCAGCGACGCCGCGUGAGGGAUGGAGGCCUUCGGGUUGUAAACCUCUUUUAUCGGGGAGCAAGCGUGAGUGAGUUUACCCGUUGAAUAAGCACCGGCUAACUACGUGCCAGCAGCCGCGGUAAUACGUAGGGUGCAAGCGUUAUCCGGAAUUAUUGGGCGUAAAGGGCUCGUAGGCGGUUCGUCGCGUCCGGUGUGAAAGUCCAUCGCUUAACGGUGGAUCCGCGCCGGGUACGGGCGGGCUUGAGUGCGGUAGGGGAGACUGGAAUUCCCGGUGUAACGGUGGAAUGUGUAGAUAUCGAAAAGAAAACCCCC
rnacentral:rRNA from 1 species